UACGGAGGAUCCAAGCGUUAUCCGGAUUCAUUGGGUUUAAAGGGUGCGUAGGCGGAAUGAUAAGUCAGUGGUGAAAUCCUGCAGCUUAACUGUAGAACUGCCGUUGAUACUGUCAAUCUUGAGUACAUUUGAUGUGGGCGGAAUGUGUCAUGUAGCGGUGAAAUGCUUAGAUAUGACACAGAACACCGACUGCGAAGGCAGCUCACAAAACUGUAACUGACGCUGAGGCACGAAAGCGUGGGUAUCAAACAGG
rnacentral:rRNA from 1 species